UGGGGAAUAUUGGACAAUGGGGGCAACCCUGAUCCAGCCAUGCCGCGUGAGUGAUGAAGGCCUUCGGGUUGUAAAGCUCUUUUGGCGGGGACGAUGAUGACGGUACCCGCAGAAUAAGCCCCGGCUAACUUCGUGCCAGCAGCCGCGGUAAGACGAAGGGGGCUAGCGUUGUUCGGAAUUACUGGGCGUAAAGCGAGUGUAGGUGGUUUUCCAAGUUGGAUGUGAAAGCCUUGAGCUCAACUCAAGAAAUGCAUUCAGGACUGGGAGACUAGAGGACCGGAGAGGAUAGUGGAAUUCCCAGUGUAGUGGUGAAAUACGUAGAGAUUGGGAAGAACACCAGUGGCGAAGGCGGCUAUCUGGACGGUUUCUGACACUAAGACUCGAAAGCGUGGGGAGCAAACAGGAUUAGAUACC
rnacentral:rRNA from 1 species